CAAGAAGUGAAUGAACCGGGGGCCGUGGCUCACAUGAAGUCAGCAGUUCGAGAGCAGCCUGACCAAUAUGAGAAGGGAGAAGACAGAGGAGAAUGCCAGAUGAAGACAGAAACAGAGAUUGAAGUUAUGUGGCCAUAAUUCAAGGAUUGCUGGCAACACCAGAAGCCAAGAGAAAGAUGAGGAAGAAUUCUCCCCUAGACCUUUCAGAAGGAGCGUGGCCCAGCCAACACCCUGACUUCAGACUUCUGGCCUCCAGAACUGUGAGAAUAAAUUCUUACUGUUGUAAUCCACCUGAUAUG
rnacentral:lncRNA from 1 species